GGAUGUGAGGGCGAUCUGGCUGCGACAUCUGUCACCCCAUUGAUCGCCAGGGUUGAUUCGGCUGAUCUGGCUGGCUAGGCGGGUGUCCCCUUCCUCCCUCACCGCUCCAUGUGCGUCCCUCCCGAAGCUGCGCGCUCGGUGGAAGAGGACGACCAUCCCAGAUAGAAGGAGUGUACCGUUCUUCGGUCAAGGGUAUACGAUAGCUGCGCUCCCCUGCUAGAACCUCCAAACAAGCUCAAGGUCCAUUUGUAGGAGAACGUAGGGUAGUCAAGCUGGGAAAUAAUCCAUAAUGAACAGAAGAUAACGCUUAAAAGUACUUUAAAAAAAAAAAGUUCCUUUUUGUU